AUACUGCCUUGACAGGAAAGAUAACAUGGUCAGGCAAAAAUCACACGGUGAUGUUUUUCCAAGACAAGAUUUUUUCUUUGCAUUCUGGAUGUACUGACUCCUGUGACUUUCUCAAAUGUGAGAAAUCCAACUGCAUGGUUUGUGGUCAUGGAGAACUCUGU
rnacentral:snRNA from 1 species